UAGGGAAUCUUCCACAAUGGACGCAAGUCUGAUGGAGCAACGCCGCGUGAGUGAAGAAGGUUUUCGGAUCGUAAAGCUCUGUUGUUGGUGAAGAAGGAUAGAGGCAGUAACUGGUCUUUAUUUGACGGUAAUCAACCAGAAAGUCACGGCUAACUACGUGCCAGCAGCCGCGGUAAUACGUAGGUGGCAAGCGUUGUCCGGAUUUAUUGGGCGUAAAGCGAGCGCAGGCGGAAUGAUAAGUCUGUUGUGAAAGCCCACGGCUCAACCGUGGAACUGCAUCGGAAACUGUCAUUCUUGAGUGCAGAAGAGGAGAGUGGAAUUCCAUGUGUAGCGGUGGAAUGCGUAGAUAUAUGGAAGAACACCAGUGGCGAAGGCGGCUCUCUGGUCUGCAACUGACGCUGAGGCUCGAAAGCAUGGGUAGCGAACAGG
rnacentral:rRNA from 1 species